rnacentral:rRNA from 1 species
UACAGAGGUCCCAAGCGUUGUUCGGAUUCACUGGGCGUAAAGGGUGCGUAGGUGGUGAGGUAAGUCGGAUGUGAAAUCUCCGAGCUCAACUCGGAAAUGGCAUUGGAAACUACCUUGCUAGAGGGUUGGAGGGGGGACUGGAAUACUUGGUGUAGCAGUGAAAUGCGUAGAUAUCAAGUGGAACACCAGUGGCGAAGGCGAGUCCCUGGACAACUCCUGACACUGAGGCACGAAGGCUAGGGGAGCAAACGGG